rnacentral:rRNA from 1 species
CCUACGGGGGGCUGCAGUGGGGAAUAUUGGACAAUGGGCGAAAGCCUGAUCCAGCCAUGCCGCGUGUGUGAAGAAGGCCUUCGGGUUGUAAAGCACUUUCAGUGGGGAAGAAAGCCUUGGGGCUAAUACCCUCGAGGAAGGACAUCACCCACAGAAGAAGCACCGGCUAACUCCGUGCCAGCAGCCGCGGUAAUACGGAGGGUGCGAGCGUUAAUCGGAAUUACUGGGCGUAAAGCGCGCGUAGGCGGUCUGAUAAGCCGGUUGUGAAAGCCCCGGGCUCAACCUGGGAACGGCAUCCGGAACUGUCAGGCUAGAGGGCAGGAGAGGAAGGUAGAAUUCCCGGUGUAGCGGUGAAAUGCGUAGAGAUCGGGAGGAAUACCAGUGGCGAAGGCGGCCUUCUGGACUGACACUGACGCUGAGGUGCGAAAGCGUGGGUAGCAAACAGGAUUAGAUACCCGUGUAGUC